GACGGUGGCCUCGGAUAAUGCUUAGUGCACUCUGAUGACCCCAAAUCACCACCAUAUAUGGAAAUGUUUUUUUUAUUUAUCAAAUAAUGUUUUUUAUAUAAAUAUUCGUAUUUUAAAGCGUUUUACGGUAAACACGAACAAUAAAUGAUGCUAUUUAAAUGGGCAGGUGACUGGUAAAUCCAAAAAUGAUAUCGGAGUCAACGAAGAUGGUCCCCAGGUCGAUGACGCCAGGGUCCGGCUUGCCACCUCCAGGAGACUCCGAUGGAUAAUGUGAAGACCUGGACACAAAAUAAGGGGAGACCAAAACAUGGAUGGACAGGUGGGAAACAGGCACAAACUGGUGUCCACAAACCAAACUGGAAGCCAAAGUCAUGCUAAAGGGGCUGCUAUGCAAAAGGGAUGAGUAGUGUUUUACACUGGGAAUCACACACUAGGAAAUCUCCUUUACCUCCUCUUCCUCAUCAUCAUACUCAUCAUCAUAUUCAUUCAAUUCUGCAAAUGCAGUCUGAAAUUAAGCAGACAAUUACAAGAUUAGAGACUGUGCACUAAGCUUUGUGUGGAAGUGGUAACACACAACACAAAACAAAGGGUUACCUUUGGUUUUCUGCUCAGGGGGUGCAGUAAAAAGGCCACCACUUCCGCUUGACCAACAGCUUUAGCCUGGAUAGAGAUAAUAUGAAGAUUAAGUUUGUUUGUUUUUCUGCUAUUUCUAUAUAAAACACCCACCACUUCAAUUGCUGUCUGCCCAUCAUAGCCUGGUUUAUUCAGAUCAGCUCCAGCUAGACUCCAUAUUUCCAGGCCCUCCACGUCGCCGCUGGCUGCCAGGCUAGCACAUUAUAAAAAACAAGAAAACACACAUCAUUAUAGGAACAAUGGCCAAUGUUUCCAGAAGUAGCUUAUCAUUAAAUGAGAUUAAACACAGUUGGAAAGCAAAUACAGUAGAUCUCCAGGACCAGCAGGGAAUAGCGAAAAGCUGUCAGUAAUUGAUUGAUUGAUUGAUUGAUUGACUUUAAAGUUAUCCUAUGAUUCGGAUCAACAGCAAUAAGAGUAACUAUUGUUAUUAUUAGAUUACAUUCCACUCCAGAACCCUCGCCUUCUUUCUUCAAUUGCCAUUGUUCCAUGUGACACAAUCCAGGUUUAGGUAUUUACAAAUUAUUACCGACUUUUGCUAGAUGAGAAUGUUUUCUACAAAAACUGCCACUUUACGGAGAAAAAAAAAACAUAUUUAGACCAAAAAUCCACAAAUUUGAGUUUGAAUUGUGAAUGUGUGGGGAUCCACUGUACUCCACCACGCUGUGCAAGGUUGUGUGGCAUUUAGUUAUGCUCAUCAUAGCGUGCGUCUUUGUCAAAGUGUAAAGUGGAACCAUCUCCGGUGGAUGGAUACAGAGGAGUCCCGACGCUAUGCUGUCAGGGAGCAUUCCUCCGGUAAAGAGCGGGGAAACUUGUUGGACUUGCGUGAGCUAUUUAGGAUGGGUUCGUGUGGUAGUCCACAUGUGUGUGUGUGUGUGUGUGACCUGCACAGUUCGGUUCCAGCUUCUUCCAGCUUAUCCCGGGAGAAGUGGGCUCCUGUCUUUCUGAGGAGCUUGACGACUUCCUUGUGCCUACAUUAGAUGACAUCAUUAUCAUUAGUUUCAUUAUUUAAGGUCGUAGUAGUCAUUUAUGGAAAGUAAGUAACACCCUGGCCUCCGCACCCACCCUAACCGCCCACACAGAACCCACCUCAAGUGGGUACAGUAUACUCUAUAAACCACACAAACAAGUUCAGCUCGCUGAUAACAAAGGUCUAUGAUGGUUAAAAAUGUCGAGGUAUGCGGCUUAAGAAAACAUUAAAAUGGGACUUCCUGUUGAGUGUUAAAAAGCCAGUAUCUAUGAACUGUAAAGCAUCAGUCUGGUAGGACUGGUUCACAGGCCACACCCACUUCCCCCACCCAUCUAGUGUGAGUAUAGAAACGCGCCGUCCGACAACAUUAUAGACGUGUGAUGGAGUGCCAUUAAACAGGCUACAAUCAAGAGCAGCAUAGGAAGUCAUGCAGCAAAUGGAAGUGAAGCGGCGCCGCGUGGAAACAUGUCCCUGCUUGUCUUGCCAACCGUUAAAUUAGGACACAACGCCGACACAUGAGAUUUCCCUGCGGCUAAAUAUAAAGAGGGGUAGAUAAAACACACUUGAUAAAUAUUUGGGACAAUGUCAAGGAAUGACAAGGUGUAAAAAUAAACAGUUGGGCAAUUAGCCUAAAUGUGAUCGAGUAUUAAUUUCCCUAUCCUACGGUGUCA